UCGGGAAUUUUGGGCAAUGGGGGAAACCCUGACCCAGCAACGCCGCGUGGGGGAUGAAGGUCUUCGGAUCGUAAACCCCUGUCGAAUGGGACGAAUAGCCCGCGAAUUAAUACCUCGUGGGAAUGACGGUACCGUUAAAGGAAGCCACGGCUAACUCUGUGCCAGCAGCCGCGGUAAUACAGAGGUGGCAAGCGUUGUUCGGAAUUACUGGGCGUAAAGGGCGCGUAGGCGGCCCUCUAAGUCAGACGUGAAAUCCCCCGGCUUAACCUGGGAACUGCGUCUGAUACUGGAGGGCUUGAGUAUGGGAGAGGGAUGUAGAAUUCCAGGUGUAGCGGUGAAAUGCGUAGAUAUCUGGAGGAAUACCGGUGGCGAAGGCGGCAUCCUGGACCAUUACUGACGCUGAGGCGCGAAAGCUAGGGGAGCAAACGGGAUUAGAUACCCCUGUAGUCCCUGAGCGGGCUGGCAAGGCGCAU
rnacentral:rRNA from 1 species